rnacentral:rRNA from 1 species
UACGUAGGGUGCAAGCGUUAAUCGGAAUUACUGGGCGUAAAGCGUGCGCAGGCGGUUGUGCAAGACCGAUGUGAAAUCCCCGGGCUUAACCUGGGAAUGGCAUUGGUGACUGCACGGCUAGAGUGUGUCAGAGGGGGGUAGAAUUCCACGUGUGAGCAGUGAAAUGCGUAGAGAUGUGGAGGAAUACCGAUGGCGAAGGCAGCCCCCUGGGGAUAACACUGACGCUCAUGCACGAAAGCGUGGGAGCAAACAGG